UCAGCAGGAAAGAAGUAACACUUACCGGUUUGUGUGAUUUUGGUUUAAAAGUACGUAGGUACAUCACCUUUAUCUUCAGGCCAUACUGCCAGGCUAGCCCGAAACAUUCCUAAUGACCAGUCUUAAUAUGAUUCCUCUUACCUUCAUUUGUUAGGAGUGGAAAUAUUAUCAUAAUUGAAUUUGUAAGAUUUUGACUGCAAAAAUGAACCAAAAGUGGUUUUGAUUAGGGGCGUAGUGUAGUGGACAAAAUGUGUUUGUAGUGAGAAGCAGUGGUGGUUUUGACUGGUUAUUUAUGAGUUUUGAGAGUUUUCAUAACAAAAAUAUCUUAUUAUCGCCACCUUACACUAUAUAUACGUGUACCAUCUUUAUAUGUAUUUAUUACUAGAAAUUCGUAAAAACAUGUAUCAUUUUACACAAUAAAACCGAAAAAAUAAGUCAUGUUAAACCACUUGACACAAAUUCGUUAUACUUUAUCGUUUGUGUCAAUUGAUAUAAGUUACGUUUCUUUACUUUUUAAAGAAAAUAAAUAGAAUUUUGCCUUUCUACAACUUUAUGAAAUAAACUUUCUUCCAAGACAUUUUGUUUUUUGUAGAAUAAGACUGUAAAAUUAUUAAUUGAAAUAUGAUAUAUCAACGAUGACUUUUGUAUAGUUAUGUGUGUAAAAAGGUAUAACUAGACUUGUAUCAAUUUACACAGUAUAAAAGUUGGUGUCAACUGAUACAUGUAAUUUAUUUUGAUCCUCUACCAUUUCUGUUUAGGUUCUAAAUAUUAGAAAAGAAACCUUCCAUCAUCACCUAUCGACACAUCUAACUUCUGUUCCAUUAUUCCUUAUAAGUCGCGAGCUAGAAUGUUUUUAACUUUAAACUCGAUUUUCUCAAAACUUGAAUUUUGGACUUGUAUUACUUUUCACCGACGGUCAAAGACCUUGUAUAUUCUAUACAAGGUCUUUGCCGACGGUACAGAAUUUUCCUUUUAUUCUACUCGCAUAAUAAUUUAAUAAUAUGGUGUAUAGUAGUGUUGCCGCGAUAGUGCCCUAUCGAUAGUUUUCGAUCGAACUAUCGAUAGUUUUGUACGAUCGAUAGGGUCCUUAAUUCCGAUAGUAUUGUAAAAAAAAUCCCAUCCACUCAUUUAACAGUUUUUUUUUAGUAUCGAUGCUAUCGUUGCUUAUCAAUAGUAUCGCCAAAAACGUGUUAUCGAUAGGCCUAUCCGUUGGGUAGAUGAUUUAUCAAAAUAAUAAUAUUAAAUUAAUAUCCCUAACUUGAAAUUUAACAGUUCUAAUUUAAAAAAAAGGUACCGCCUGUCUGACCUUCCAACCCCCGAAGGGAAAACCAGCACCAAAGACCAAGUAUUAGAAUCAUUGAAAUACUUGGUCCUUGGUUGCGAGAAUUUCGAUUAGUGUUGCCGAUCGAUAGACAACUAUCCUAUAUAUUAAGAUAUAUGUAGAAGUGAGGAUCGCGACCACAGGUUAUGGUUUUCCACUUGGUACGGCUAUAUGCUGCGUGCACCGCCCUCUGUAUGCUGCCGCCCAUCGUCUUCUUCACGAUGUCAGAUCACCUCGUAGGCGCCCUUCCUCGCGCACGUUUGCCAUCUAUUUGCCCAAAGAUGAUCUGCUUCUCCAGACUGUGCUUCGGAGACCGCAUAAUAUGUCCGAAGAAGCUUAGGGCACGAUUCCGGCAUAUUGAGGAGAGCCGCGUCGUGAUCUUGAGCUCUUUUAAUAUGGACUCAUUCGUACACGUAAAAAGCCUUAAAUUACCAAGUAGAGAAAGUCCGGCAUGAGGUGAGCACGAAGUUUUGAAGACAGGAGUGAUUGUAUUAGAUUUCCUCCUGAGCAGUUGCACUACAAAUUUAGUGAUGAAGAGGCAAUACUUGACAGAAACCUUAAGUGGGAUGACAUAAUUAUAAAGAAAAUCAAUAAGAGGAUGAACUCUUUUAAUGUUUGUAAAACAAUAGUAUGGAAGAAUUUUGAUGCAUCUUGGAGCAAUGGCAACAUAUUUGGGAGUUGUGAGUGACAACGAGCAGAUUACAUAACAAUGGGAGGAUAACAAGGGCCUUAACUGAAAAAACUGGUGAAUGUUCCCAAAUAAACCUCACAGAUGUAGAAGAAACACAAAAUAAAUUUGUUUAUUUAUUUUAUUUCUGUUCCCUACUAAACUAGUAAUAAAACAUACUUUUUACAAAUA
rnacentral:lncRNA from 1 species